GUCCUAGUUACCAGCACGUAUGGUGGGCGACUCUAAGGAGACUGCCGGUGACAAACCGGAGGAAGGUGGGGAGUGACGUCAAGUCAUCAUGGCCCUUACGGCCUGGGCUACACACGUGCUACAAUGGUCGGUACAAAGGGUUGCCAAGCCGCGAGGUGGAGCUAAUCCCAUAAAACCGAAUCGUAGUCCGGAUCGCAGUCUGCAACUCGACUGCGUGAAGUCGGAAUCGCUAGUAAUCGUGAAUCAGAAUGUCACGGUGAAUACGUUCCCGGGCCUU
rnacentral:rRNA from 1 species